rnacentral:lncRNA from 13 species
UCAGGCGUGGGCACAAGACUGUAAACUUUGGCUCACACAAAUCCUGAUCGCGCCAAGUGUGGGGUAUUCCUGGUGUUGUAUGAUAGAGAGUUUGUAUCUUUUGAAAUGCACAUAAAAUGCCUGUAAGUUGCUUUUCCGCUUGAUUUUCUUGGAAUGAUGUAUGUUCCCCAAUGCAGGUGCUGUCAUCUGUCUGAAUUAGCAUUGUCAGGCUCAAACACCCCCAAAGGAAACGCUUUCUGCAGUGACCCAGACAACUCUGAGAGGGCUGUGGAAAGGCCCGUGGUGCAUCUCUGGGAGCAUCUCUGGAAUGGGAAUGGGCAAUGGACACCUUUCAUCUCCUUGGCCUCCUCCACUUGACUGCAUGUGGGGAUUCAGCAGGAGGGACAAGCCUGUAGUGCAGACCUUGAAAACGGACAUAGUUGGAACCUGGGGCUCCCCAAAGGAGAAAGUAAAUUGCAUAUUCCAGUUUCCUGGGAAUCCUGGGUGCCAUUGGUUAACCAGAAGGGAAGAAGUCUCCGUCUUGAAAUGGGAGCUGAGGAUAUCAAAAGCUGGUCCUCACUUUGAGGGAGGAAGGAGAAGUAGAGGAGGUUGAUGCUGUGGAUUUCUCAGUGGCCUGGAAGGAAUUAGGAGAUUACAGGCUCCCCUUGUCUGUCCUGUGUAAAGGUAAAUCCUUCUCGAUCAGGUGCCAUCACAUAAACCCAAAAUCAGUUCUUCAAACCCAUUCCAGUCUUCUAGGUUUUGCAGUGUUUUGUGUUUCACAGGCAACCACUUACAGAGUCCUCAAAUUGGCCCUAAAAAUUGCAAUUACUGCUUUUGCACUGAGGAUUUAUGAGGAGCAGAAUGUCCUAUUUGCCCACGUGUGCAGAGCUGAAGGUAAGGGCACGUGAAGCAUUAAAUGCAAAAAAAAAACAUUAAAAAAUUUAGCAUUUAGUUUCAAGUGCCAUUUUUGAACAGCUGAUUCUUGUUGCUCCACUGUGUGUGUGUGUAAAUUGUGGUGGGAACAUAGUGACUUAAAUCAACACUUUGCAGUGACAUGUCUGAAACAAUUACUCUUUGAAGACAGGAAUAUAACAAGAACUCGGGUCUGGGCUGUGUCUGUGGGAACACUUUCUACCAAGAAUUAAAGGAUGCGUGUUCUAGAUCAAAGUAGCCUAUACUUCAUAUUAUGUCUAAUUACCAUACCAUUCAUCUUUAUUAAAUUCAUUUGUUUUAAUUAAAAGAAUAGAUAUUUUGCAUCAGAGUUUACGGGGUCUGUUGGGCACUUGAGAUUAAAUCAAUGGUUUGUUAACAAUUUUAUCUGGAAAGUAGAUUAGAUUAUUUAAAUUAUGCAAAGCAGCAUCGUUUUUCUUUUUCAGUAGAAUGAAGUAAUGAUUAAGAAAUAACGCUUGGAGCAUGAAAGCUCUGCUUGUCAUUAUUUUUCAUAUUCAUAUUUGGGAUUUUAGAGUGAAAUUGUUCAUCUCCAAACUGGUUUUAUUAUAUUGAAUUUGGCAAAAUAGAAGAAGUGCUGCAGUAGUGUCUCACAGCAGGUGUUUUCCAAUGGUGAUAUGGAGGAUGCCAGUGCUGGAUGCUGGACUCAGUUGGACCAUAUUUUAGAUUUGUAUUGUAUUUUUGUGCUGUUGGAGCAGUAAGUCUCGUUAAUCAGUUCAUAAAACAGUAGGAUAAAAAAAAUGCACUGAAGGUGUAAAACAGUCAACGCCAGAAGAGUUUAAAGAGUAGCUUAAUAAAUAAAACAUAAUUGGAUAAAAUAGGCAAGUAAUAAGCUGAGGGCAGCCCAAAUGUGUAAUUUCUUGUGGUCUGUGGCUAUGCAUCAGUUUGCACUGCAUCUGCGUGAAGCCUGGAGGUGUUGUGGAGUUGCAUUAACAGUGCUGUGCUGUUGAGGUGCCUCGUUUUAUCCUGCUCCUGC